ACGUCUACAUUAGAUACCCGGGUAGUCCCUAGCCGUAAACGAUACUCGCUAGGUGUCGGCCACGGUGCGACCGUUGUCGGUGCCGUAGGGAAGCCGUGAAGCGAGCCACCUGGGAAGUACGGCCGCAAGGCUGAAACUUAAAGGAAUUGGCGGGGGAGCACCACAACGGGUGGAGCUUGCGGUUUAAUUGGAUUCAACGCCGGAAAUCUUACCGGGACCGACAGCAACAUGAAGGCCAGGCUGAAGACUUUGCCGGAUUAGCUG
rnacentral:rRNA from 1 species